GGCGCCACAAAUUUGUUUUCAAACAGUUUGUGAUCAAACUGACAACUGGAGAAACAAAGAAGUUAGAAGCUGUUCAGAAAAUACCUCAAAGAAGUUAACACUAAACCUACUACUGAGUAUGGUGCUGUAUGCUCAGAUAUGUAACCUUCAUGCGAAGAUGCAUGAUGAACAGGAGGGCCUACAGCAGCACCUAGAUCUUCUGCACAGAUUUUGCCAGACUACAGAGAAGGCCAAGCUGGGGCCAAGCUUCCUGUCAUCCAGGACCUACAUAAUAGGCAGUGUCAGAGGACAGCCACAAAAAUUGUCAGAGA